CCUUCUUCUUCUCUCUUUCUCCUUCUUUCCUUUUCUUCCCUCUCUUUCCUUCUUUUCUCUCCUUCUUUCUUUCCCUCUCCCAGUCUUCACCGGGAGAUUACGUGCGAGACUGUCGGACUUGAGAGCGAUAGAGGAAAAUGGAAUUCCCGGUGUAGUGGUGAAAUGCGUAGAUAUCGGGAGGAACACCAGUGGCGAAAGCGAUUUUCUGGAUCGUUUCUGACGCUCAGACGCGAAAGCUAGGGUAGCAAACGG
rnacentral:rRNA from 1 species